GACGAACGCUGGCGGCGUGCUUAACACAUGCAAGUCGAACGGAAAGGCCCUGCUUUUGUGGGGUGCUCGAGUGGCGAACGGGUGAGUAACACGUGAGUAACCUGCCCUUGACUUUGGGAUAACUUCAGGAAACUGGGGCUAAUACCGGAUAGGAGCUCCUGCUGCAUGGUGGGGGUUGGAAAGUUUCGGCGGUUGGGGAUGGACUCGCGGCUUAUCAGCUUGUUGGUGGGGUAGUGGCUUACCAAGGCUUUGACGGGUAGCCGGCCUGAGAGGGUGACCGGCCACAUUGGGACUGAGAUACGGCCCAGACUCCUACGGGAGGCAGCAGUGGGGAAUAUUGCACAAUGGGCGGAAGCCUGAUGCAGCAACGCCGCGUGCGGGAUGACGGCCUUCGGGUUGUAAACCGCUUUCGCCUGUGACGAAGCGUGAGUGACGGUAAUGGGUAAAGAAGCACCGGCUAACUACGUGCCAGCAGCCGCGGUGAUACGUAGGGUGCGAGCGUUGUCCGGAUUUAUUGGGCGUAAAGGGCUCGUAGGUGGUUGAUCGCGUCGGAAGUGUAAUCUUGGGGCUUAACCCUGAGCGUGCUUUCGAUACGGGUUGACUUGAGGAAGGUAGGGGAGAAUGGAAUUCCUGGUGGAGCGGUGGAAUGCGCAGAUAUCAGGAGGAACACCAGUGGCGAAGGCGGUUCUCUGGGCCUUUCCUGACGCUGAGGAGCGAAAGCGUGGGGAGCGAACAGGCUUAGAUACCCUGGUAGUCCACGCUGUAAACGGUGGGUACUAGGUGUGGGGUCCAUUCCACGGGUUCCGUGCCGUAGCUAACGCUUUAAGUACCCCGCCUGGGGAGUACGGCCGCAAGGCUAAAACUCAAAGGAAUUGACGGGGCCCCGCACAAGCGGCGGAGCAUGCGGAUUAAUUCGAUGCAACGCGUAGAACCUUACCUGGGUUUGACAUGGAUCGGGAGUGCUCAGAGAUGGGUGUGCCUCUUUUGGGGUCGGUUCACAGGUGGUGCAUGGCUGUCGUCAGCUCGUGUCGUGAGAUGUUGGGUUAAGUCCCGCAACGAGCGCAACCCUUGUUCACUGUUGCCAGCACGUUAUGGUGGGGACUCAGUGGAGACCGCCGGGGUCAACUCGGAGGAAGGUGGGGAUGACGUCAAGUCAUCAUGCCCCUUAUGUCCAGGGCUUCACGCAUGCUACAAUGGCUGGUACAGAGAGUGGCGAGCCUGUGAGGGUGAGCGAAUCUCGGAAAGCCGGUCUCAGUUCGGAGUGGGGUCUGCAACUCGACCUCAUGAAGUCGGAGUCGCUAGUAAUCGCAGAUCAGCAACGCUGCGGUGAAUACGUUCCCGGG
rnacentral:rRNA from 1 species